rnacentral:rRNA from 1 species
ACGAACGCUGGCGGCGUGGAUAAGACAUGCAAGUCGAACGAGAGAAUUGCUAGCUUGCUAAUAAUUCUCUAGUGGCGCACGGGUGAGUAACACGUGAGUAACCUGCCCCCGAGAGCGGGAUAGCCCUGGGAAACUGGGAUUAAUACCGCAUAGUAUCGAAAGAUUAAAGCAGCAAUGCGCUUGGGGAUGGGCUCGCGGCCUAUUAGUUAGUUGGUGAGGUAACGGCUCACCAAGGCGAUGACGGGUAGCCGGUCUGAGAGGAUGUCCGGCCACACUGGAACUGAGACACGGUCCAGACACCUACGGGUGGCAGCAGUCGAGAAUCAUUCACAAUGGGGGAAACCCUGAUGGUGCGACGCCGCGUGGGGGAAUGAAGGUCUUCGGAUUGUAAACCCCUGUCAUGUGGGAGCAAAUUAAAAAGAUAGUACCACAAGAGGAAGAGACGGCUAACUCUGUGCCAGCAGCCGCGGUAAUACAGAGGUCUCAAGCGUUGUUCGGAAUCACUGGGCGUAAAGCGUGCGUAGGCUGUUUCGUAAGUCGUGUGUGAAAGGCGCGGGCUCAACCCGCGGACGGCACAUGAUACUGCGAGACUAGAGUAAUGGAGGGGGAACCGGAAUUCUCGGUGUAGCAGUGAAAUGCGUAGAUAUCGAGAGGAACACUCGUGGCGAAGGCGGGUUCCUGGACAUUAACUGACGCUGAGGCACGAAGGCCAGGGGAGCGAAAGGGAUUAGAUACCCCUGUAGUCCUGGCAGUAAACGGUGCACGCUUGGUGUGCGGGGAAUCGACCCCCUGCGUGCCGGAGCUAACGCGUUAAGCGUGCCGCCUGGGGAGUACGGUCGCAAGAUUAAAACUCAAAGAAAUUGACGGGGACCCGCACAAGCGGUGGAGUAUGUGGCUUAAUUCGAUGCAACGCGAAGAACCUUACCUGGGCUUGACAUGUAAUGAACAACAUGUGAGAGCAUGCGACUCUUCGGAGGCGUUACACAGGUGCUGCAUGGCCGUCGUCAGCUCGUGUCGUGAGAUGUUUGGUUAAGUCCAGCAACGAGCGCAACCCCUGUUGCCAGUUACCAGCACGUGAAGGUGGGGACUCUGGCGAGACUGCCCAGAUCAACUGGGAGGAAGGUGGGGACGACGUCAGGUCAGUAUGGCCCUUAUGCCCAGGGCUGCACACGUACUACAAUGCCCAGUACAGAGGGGGCCGAAGCCGCGAGGCGGAGGAAAUCCUAAAAACUGGGCCCAGUUCGGACUGUAGGCUGCAACCCGCCUACACGAAGCCGGAAUCGCUAGUAAUGGCGCAUCAGCUACGGCGCCGUGAAUACGUUCCCGGGUCUUGUACACACCGCCCGUCACAUCAUGGAAGCCGGUCGCACCCGAAGUAUCUGAAGCCAACCGCAAGGAGGCAGGGUCCUAAGGUGAGACUGGUAACUGGGAUG